UACGAAGGGGGCUAGCGUUGUUCGGAAUCACUGGGCGUAAAGCGCACGUAGGCGGACUUUCAAGUCAGGGGUGAAAGCCCGGGGCUCAACUCCGGAAUUGCCUUUAAGACUGCAUCGCUAGAAUUGUGGAGAGGUAAGUGGAAUUCCGAGUGUAGAGGUGAAAUUCGUAGAUAUUCGGAAGAACACCAGUGGCGAAGGCGACUUACUGGACACAUAUUGACGCUGAGGUGCGAAAGCGUGGGGAGCAAACAGG
rnacentral:rRNA from 1 species